UACGUAGGGGGCAAGCGUUGUCCGGAAUCAUUGGGCGUAAAGAGCGUGUAGGCGGCUUGGUAAGUCCGCUGUGAAAGUCCAGGGCUCAACCCUGGAAAGCCGGUGGAAACUGUCAAGCUUGAGUCCGGAAGAGGCGAGUGGAAUUCCUGGUGUAGCGGUGAAAUGCGCAGAUAUCAGGAGGAACACCAAUGGCGAAGGCAGCUCUCUGGGACGGUACUGACGCUGAGACGCGAAAGCGUGGGGAGCGAACAGG
rnacentral:rRNA from 1 species